UACGAAGGGGGCGAGCGUUGUUCGGAUUUACUGGGCGUAAAGGGCGCGUAGGCGGUCUGUCGCGUCGGCUGUGAAAACUCGGGGCUCAACUCCGAGCUUGCAGUCGAUACGGGCAGGCUAGAGUUCGGCAGGGGAGACUGGAAUUCCUGGUGUAGCGGUGAAAUGCGCAGAUAUCAGGAGGAACACCGGUGGCGAAGGCGGGUCUCUGGGCCGAUACUGACGCUGAGGAGCGAAAGCGUGGGGAGCGAACAGG
rnacentral:rRNA from 1 species